rnacentral:ncRNA from 2 species
AAACCAUCGCAUGACUGGCGGAAGUGGAAAAAACCACAAGGGAAUGCGAUGUGAAGUUCGUUGCCGACCGCCUGGGCCCUCUUG